CCUACGGGGGGCAGCAGUGAGGAAUAUUGGUCAAUGGACGCAAGUCUGAACCAGCCAUGCCGCGUGCAGGAAGACGGCUCUAUGAGUUGUAAACUGCUUUUGUACGAGGGUAAAUCCCGAUACGUGUAUCGGGUUGAAAGUAUCGUACGAAUAAGGAUCGGCUAACUCCGUGCCAGCAGCCGCGGUAAUACGGAGGAUUCAAGCGUUAUCCGGAUUUAUUGGGCUUAAAGGGUGCGCAGGCGGAAGAUCAAGUCAGCGGUAAAAUGGAGAGGGUCAACCUCUUCGAGCAGUUGAAACUGGUUGUCUUGAGUGAGUGAGAAGUAUGCGGAAUGCGUGGUGUAGCGGUGAAAUGCAUAGAUAUCACGCAGAACUCCGAUUGCGAAGGCAGCAUACCGGCGCUCAACUGACGCUCAUGCACGAAAGUGUGGGUAUCGAACAGGAUUAGAUACCCCAGUAGUC
rnacentral:rRNA from 1 species